GAAAAAAACGGCACCCGCAAGUCAAAAUUUGGGGUAAAUUUUGGGUAGCUCAGAUUUUGAAGUGACUCAGUAAUAACUCUAAAUUUCCAGUCAGUAACUUGAAGAUUUGACUUCAAUUCAGCUUAGUUUCAGGUUUUCCGGGGCCACGUUAAAUAAAACAACUGGAGCAGCACCAAAGUACAAACAAGAAAGGAGGCCAGAGCUGCAUUUCCCAGGUGAACGCCCAACUCCCGUGCGGGUCAGACAUCACAGUAACCCGCCUCCUUCUGCUUCUGGUCUUCUCUGGUACAAAUGCACAGUUGUCCAGUCAGCCAGCUGGUCAUGACUGUCAGCAGGACCUCGGCUCGGGCUGCGGAUGGAGGCCAGAUGGCUUUGUGAACAUCCUUCUGUUAACGAUUACAGAGUAAAUUCGGCCCAGCUCUGAAUUUCAUCUACCCACUGAUUCCACUGUCUCCACAAUGGAGGAGUCGGACUAUGCUCCCCACCUCUUUCCUCGCCUACUCAGCUCUACUCACCUGUCACCCAUCUGCUGUAAUCACUCACCUGCCAAUCAUCACGGAUUAUUACCCUGUGGAGUCUGCUCCCUUGCUGAAUCGUUGUGCUGACUUGUGUCAGUGUAGCCCCGGCUUGGCUAGUGAGUUCCUUGUGUUUCCUAAUGUGUCUCCCUAAUCUGUUCUUCUUGUGCAGACUUCCCUAUCCCUACCUGUUUCUCCUGCCCUGUGGACCCUGAGUGGGUGUGAGUGAACUUUCUUGGAUUGUAUUUGGAGUUUUUGUGACUCGUGGACUGUGUGAAGAGGAGUGUGAAGGUUUCCCUGCCCUGGACAUUCUCCCCCUAGUUUCCCUGGAGCCUCCUUCCCCUGCUGCUGUAUAUAUUUCACCUGGUGUGCAUCUGUAAAUAAACCCCUUUCACUUUUCACCAGUUUUGAGUCCUGCACCCAACUAACUUUGACACAAAUAUGUUUCUUACAAGAGCUCUUACAGUGUGCUGCCAAGCUAUUAGAGGAAGCGCUUUUCUUAUAGUGUCUUGCAAACUUGUUUUUUUGUUUUUGUUUUUUGCUUUAUAUUUUAAUCGCUGCUCUCUAGAAAGCAGACGUUCAAGCAGCUUUUUUGUCCUUUAUUUCAGACUCCCUCUCCAGUUUUUACUAAUGAGCUUGCAUGCUUUUAAGCUGCAGAUCAUUCAGAAUGGUAAAGAGCGAGGGAUAGAACCAGAGAGGACGCGUACAGAGGAAGUGCAGAGCCAGCACACAUUACCCUCCAGAGGUUUCGAGCACCAGGACUACAGGAUUUCAAAAGACAUGAUGAGAGAGAGAGAAAGGGGUCAUCAUGAGUUCAGUGUUGAGGCGGCUGAGGAAAUGGAUACCAUUUUUCCUAUGUUUUUUUUUUUUUUUAAGAUGUCUGGUAUAUUAGUAGCACAUCAGUUCAAUUCAUAAUUUCUAUUCUACUGUAGUUUUAUUUCUUUUUAAUGACGGAAGAAAAUGAGGGAGGAAUAAAUAAUAAGAAUGUCUUUUCUUUAAGCUUCCUAAUCUUUUUUAUUUAUUCAGUCGAAACAUGGUAAUUAAAGUCAUAGGGCUACACGGGGGAUAUUCUCCUGACAUUCAGCCAUAAACUUCAGAUAAAGCUGUUUACAUCAGUGUCUUAAAGUAUUUGAGAUCUGCAGUCUUAUAUUUAUUUUUAAGAAAUAUUUAAAGGGACAGCUUACUUUUAUUCACCUGAAAAAAAUCAUCAAUACCAGUCCUUUUUGUGAUUUUAGCUUCUCAAAUAUCCAUCUGUCCAUCAGCUGGGGCCUGUGCAAAAUAGAAAUAGACCAAGAGGCAGUUCCACGCCCUUGAGAGCUCACCAGUUCAUCUCAGGGUUCUCAUAGAGACAAGCACACACUCUCAUAUCCACACCUCAGUCAGUGUAGAAACACCCUGAACUUAAUGUGCAUGCCUUUGGACUGUGGGAGGAAACCACAUUAACCAGAGGGAAACCCCUGCAGAUACAUGGAGAAUCCCACAGAGAAACGCCCAGCCAACAAGGAGGUUUGAACCCAAGCGGUGCUAACCACUGCACCGCUGUACCUCCCAACAACAGUUUUCAGUAUUUUUUUAAUCUUCUCCAGAUUUAAAACACAUAAAACUUCUGAAGAUCACAUACAGCUUGGAAUUAUUCAAGAAAAUAACAGGCAAAAUGUUGACUAAAGUCUGUCUGUGAAGUCUGUGAAGAGCUAAAAGUUUCCUGCAGAGAUCUUUGAUUUAACGUAAUCAAUUCUCCUCUCAGACUAAUCUUCAGCUUGGUAAUAACUGGACACGAAAAUACAUCCGCUAAUUAGACUGGAAAGAUGAAGGAGCAGUAUCCCACCCUAGUAAUGUAAUCUUGCUUCCUUAAUUUAGUUUCAAACAGCACAACAGGGCAGAACCCUCUGAUGAAGCG